CGAAGGCGAGGAACGGGAACAGCAAAUUGCCGAUAAAAUUGAAGAGGCCAUUGCCAGAAUCGCCCUCUGAAACCGUUAUAUCGACGCCGUUCAUGGCUAAAAUGUCGAUGAGGUCGGGGUCAUUGGGGACGAUAACGGUGGCCCGACGACCAUCGACGGCGGUGAGUUGGAGGGCCGAGCCAUCUUUGCUGAACCGAACUCGCUCCACUUUCCCCUUCUUCACCGCAUUCAAGAACUCGCUGUACCGCCAUUGACUACCUUCUGGGAGGUCAGACUGCGUUUGGGGUUUAGGGGCUGUGAGAAGAAGAUUCUGAGCAAAGGGUGAGGAGUUUGAGGGGCUGGGUUUAGUGGGUUGGGCUUCGAUUACAGGGGGCGGAACAGGUG
rnacentral:lncRNA from 1 species